GCUCCACUGGCCUAAUGGUUAUGGCAUUCCCCUCCGGAGGGAAAGGUUCUGGGUUCGAAUCCCAGGUGGGGUA
rnacentral:tRNA from 1 species